rnacentral:lncRNA from 1 species
UCUACAAAUGAAAAUUUGUAGCGGUUAGCUGGGAACAAGAGAAAGUGGGAUUAGGAAAGAGCAGGGAAACACAAAGGGCCCUGGGAGGUCGGGAAGGAGGAGGGAAGUUGGAGAAGUAGUUGCAGGCAAGCAGGACACGUGAGGCUCUGAGAAACUAGAACAGGAGAGAGUUUCAAAUGGGAGGGAAUGGGCAACAGUAGCGGGCCACAGGCAUCUCCCCUUGCAAGCUCAAUCAUGUAUUUUCCUAGUUCCUGGUCAAAGUCUGAGAGCUUGAACAGCAAGAGAAAUUCUCUCCCAGCGUGGGUGUCCUCUGCCUGAAUCCCAG